UACGAAGGGAGCUAGCGUUGUUCGGAAUCACUGGGCGUAAAGCGCACGUAGGCGGAUGUGUCAGUCAGGGGUGAAAUCCCGGAGCUCAACUUCGGAACUGCCCUUGAUACAGCACGUCUUGAGUCCGGAAGAGGUGGGUGGAAUUCCUAGUGUAGAGGUGAAAUUCGUAGAUAUUAGGAAGAACACCGGUGGCGAAGGCGGCCCACUGGUCCGGUACUGACGCUGAGGUGCGAAAGCCAGGGGAGCAAACGGG
rnacentral:rRNA from 1 species